UGCAGUCGAACGGCAGCWCGGGUGUUGCUGGKGGCGAGUGGGAACGGGUGAGUAAUACAUCGGAACAUGUCCUGUAGUGGGGAUAGCCGGCGAGAGKMUAAUAYCGCRUAMGAUCUAYGGUGGAGCGGGGACUUCGCGGUCGGCCAUAGGGUGGCGCUAGUGCGAUGGCUGAUUAGCUAGUUGGUGGGGUAAAGGCCCACCAAGGCGACGAUCAGUAGCUGGUCUGA
rnacentral:rRNA from 1 species